ACGAACGCUGGCGGCAGGCCUAACACCUGCCAGUCGAGCGCGCCCUUCGGGGUGAGCGGCGGACGGGUGAGUAACGCGUGGGAACGUGCCCUUCUCUGCGGAAUAGCCUCGGGAAACUGAGAGUAAUACCGCAUACGCCCUUUGGGGGAAAGAUUUAUCGGAGAAGGAUCGGCCCGCGUUGGAUUAGGUAGUUGGUGGGGUAAUGGCCCACCAAGCCGACGAUCCAUAGCUGGUUUGAGAGGAUGAUCAGCCACACUGGGACUGAGACACGGCCCAGACUCCUACGGGAGGCAGCAGUGGGGAAUCUUAGACAAUGGGGGCAACCCUGAUCUAGCCAUGCCGCGUGAGUGAUGAAGGCCUUAGGGUUGUAAAGCUCUUUCAGCUGGGAAGAUAAUGACGGUACCAGCAGAAGAAGCCCCGGCUAACUCCGUG
rnacentral:rRNA from 1 species